GAGAUACGGUUAGAUUUCGGAAUGUACGCGGUUAAGAGUGAAACAUAAAGGUUUUUUUUUUAACAUGAAGAGUUUUAGAUGAAAGUCGUUUUAUAAUACAUUCUGUAAUAUAUUCAAUAUUUCUUAUGCUAUUCUGAAUAAUAAAUAGGGAAAAACAAAUACAUCAUUUUUAUUCAACAUAUUUAUUUGUAACCGUAAAUUAAAGAAACAAGCGCAUUAGCAGGAGCCAUUUUAUUCUUUGUUCUCUGUAUAGUUCUGAUUCGGAGGCGGUGUAAACAAUUGUUUUAUCUUGCAUAAGUAUGUCAAGGUAUAGAAAUUCCGGCCCACUUGACUGCAAGGUUUAUGUUGGAGAACUUGGGAACAGUGGAACUCGACAUGAAUUGGAAGAUGCUUUUGGGUAUUAUGGACCUCUAAGAAAUGUUUGGGUAGCUAGAAAUCCACCAGGCUUUGCAUUUGUUGAAUUUGAGGAUUCCAGAGAUGCUAGAGACGCCGUUCGUGCAUUAGACGGAAAGAUUCUUUGUGGAAGACGUGUGCGCGUUGAACUAUCAAGUGGCAAGUCUCGUUCUUCCUACCGUCCUCCCCCACGUUAUGAUCCUAAUGAACGUUGUUAUGACUGUGGUGAGAGAGGGCAUUAUGCAAGAGAUUGCAAAGGAGGAAGGCGGCGUUCCAGGCUAAAGCAGCCUCAGUUGUGUAAAAAUCAACUUUAUCACUCCAGCUGCAUUGUUGUGAUCAGCAUUCAACAAUGAACCGCUGCUAAAUAUGUUGCUACACCUCAACAUUAAAAUGCCUUAAAAUGAAUCGUCUCGUCACAGCUCAGCUCUUCAGCGCACUACUUCUAGUCAACCGUCUACAAAUCAUCUUUAAGGUGUUGUUCAUCUCUAAUGUUAUACUGUCGACUCUGCACAACGACUUGAAAUAUAAAUUCGACACUGUCCCAUCUGCUCGCUACUUUUAGUAAUCAACAUAAGUUGUUCUAAGUAUUGAAAAGAGAUCAAGAUCUCGCUCUCCUCGACGACGAUCCAGAAGUCGUUCUCGCAGCCGUUCAGCUAGCAGAAGCCCAGUACGAGGACAUGCUGGUGGAUCAAGAAGUAGAUCUGGUUCUCGAAGCAGAAAUGGCAGAGCAUCAUCUGGAGAUUAGAACAGACCGGUUGAAAAGACUAAGAUCUUUACGUUGUCGACAUAACAAAUUGUCUGGAUGUGUAUUUUAAUUUUUAAUGUAUUACAUCAUUUCGAACUGUGCAUUUAUCAUUUGAAAUUUGAUAAUGUGUUAAUCAUUUCUUUAUCAAAUUUGUGUACUCAUAAAGCAUGUGAUCUAUUAAAAUGAUUUUGUUCUAUUA